rnacentral:rRNA from 1 species
UACGUAGGGGGCAAGCGUUGUCCGGAAUCAUUGGGCGUAAAGAGCGCGUAGGCGGCCCGAUAAGUCCGCUGUGAAAGUCAAGGGCUCAACCCUGGGAUGCCGGUGGAUACUGUCGGGCUCGAGUCCGGAAGAGGAGUGUGGAAUUCCUGGUGUAGCGGUGAAAUGCGCAGAUAUCAGGAGGAACACCAAUGGCGAAGGCAGCACUCUGGGACGUGACUGACGCUGAGACGCGAAAGCGUGGGGAGCAAACAGG